UACGAAGGGGGCUAGCGUUGUUCGGAAUUACUGGGCGUAAAGCGCACGUAGGCGGACUAUUAAGUCAGGGGUGAAAUCCCGGGGCUCAACCCCGGAACUGCCUUUGAUACUGGUAGUCUCGAGUCCGGAAGAGGUGAGUGGAAUUCCGAGUGUAGAGGUGAAAUUCGUAGAUAUUCGGAGGAACACCAGUGGCGAAGGCGGCUCACUGGUCCGGUACUGACGCUGAGGUGCGAAAGCGUGGGGAGCAACAGG
rnacentral:rRNA from 1 species